GGGCCAUCGAGGAGGCUUUCUUCCUUGUCCGGUCUUGAUCGAUCGAGCCUUUGUUUGUGUCAGGAUGAGGUUCUCCUCUUAUUUUUGACGGUCAGUUUCAGCUCAUGUUAGGAUGAGGUUAUCCUUCUAUUCCUAACAGGAUUGUGGGGGCAUGCAAGGGCCGCUGCCUGGGCCUCUUCCCCCAUCCGGUCUUUAAGUAAUCGGCCCUUCGACUUUGCUCAUGUUAGGAUGAGGUUCUCCUCCUGUUCCUAACAAGGCUAUGGGGGCACAUAAGGGCCGUUGCAAGG
rnacentral:lncRNA from 1 species